AACUUUUGACAACGGAUCUCUUGGUUCUGGCAUCGAUGAAAAACGCAGCGAAAUGCGAUAAUUAACGUGAAUUGCAGAAUUUAGUGAAUCAUCGAAUCUUUGAACGCACAUUGCGCCCCUUGGUAUUCCGGGGGGCAUGCCUGUUCGAGCGUCAUUUCAACCCUCAAGCUCUGCUUGGUCUUGGGCCGCGCCGGCAACGGCGGGCCUCAAAAACAGUGGCGGCGCCAUCGUGUCCCUCAGCGUAGUAAUUCUUCUCGCUGCUGGUGCCCGGUGGCCGCUGGCCAGCAAUCCCAAAUUUUUCUAUAGUUGACCUCGGAUCAGGUAGGGAUACCCGCUGAACUUAAGCAUAUCAAUAAGCGGAGGCU
rnacentral:misc_RNA from 1 species